GGUUAUACCUGGCUUGUUUCCUGACCCCUGUCCUGGCUACUGAUGCUGGUUUUACAGUCAAACUAAAUGCUUGAAAUAUCAAAUAUCAGUGGAUGUCCUGGCGUACGCAGCAGGACCAUGAGGCUGUCAUGUCCCUGUAACUCAUUGAAGUAAGGGCGAAUCUUGACCUCAUACUCCGUACUGCUGUACAGAUCUACCAAGACGAUGCUGUGGUCAGACGUGGCCUCCACAUCCUGGACCAACCAGGAGCUGCCGAUAGUCCGGUAAAAUAUACGAUAACCCUGAAUGUACCGGGACUGAAAGGCGACCUGAGAAACGUUGGCAAGACAAGAAGAAGAAGAAACCGAGUUUCACAUUUACAUCAGUAAUAACAAGCAGAACCAGCUGUGUCUGUACUUCAAGUUAAUCUGUUUGUGUCACGUAAUGUUUGGGGGUUUUGAAGUUAAUUCUUGGAGAAUAGCGUGUCCUCCGCACACUGCAAGCCGACAUUGAGUAAGUAGACUUUUUGAUGAGCCAAGUAUUCAACUCACAGUCCAAGAAAUCCUGGCGCUGGUAGGAGACAGAACCACAGGCUUCUGCAGGUAGACAGACACCUCUCCUAACUCCCUCUGCACCUGUCUGUGGUCCACACCUUGUUCUGUAGGACUUCCAUCUGACACAACAAAGAAAUCCAGUCAGUCCAAGCCACAAAAACAGCUGGAUAGCAAUUAUUCAGAAAAAAAAAAAAAAAAAAAAGCUUUUUGAUGAAAUUCAGCAGCGCUCAAGGUAAAACAGAAUCACACUGGGAAAGCAAAUUAGUUUUGAGACUGCACAUGAAAAGCAAGUUUUUUUUAAACCUCAUUAUCUUGGUGCCAGCCUCAGUAUCUCUAAUGUCUUUCUUCAAAACUAUAAACUAAAAUAAAGAUUGUACAGUAGGACUUAUAUUACGCAAGAGUAUAAUCAGAAAAAGAUGAGUUUUUGUUUAUAUAACUCACCCUGUGUCCUGACAGGCUCAGAGAUGGGGCUGGGGUCACUGAGGCCGUAAGAGUUGACUGCUCGGACGAUGAAGAGAUAAACCGUGUUGGGGAAGAGUCCGACCACUGUGUGCCUCUCAUGCUUCACGUGGUCCGCCACUGUUUGCCAGGUGCUGCCCACUGAUUGGCUGAUGGGAAAGAAACAAGACAAUUAAAACAUUUCUUAAAAUCUC